GCGCGAUGAAACUUUACUUGAGUAUACAUACAUAUACACCACAGAAUUGUGUGUUACAGAAAGAACUCGACAAUAGGGUCAUCAGAAGCUAGACAUGAAGCUACCUGGCGUAGUCACUCUAUCUCCGGUGUGUAUGCCGCUUUUCAGCUAUCCAGAGCGUCCCAAAGUCGAAAACCUGCGAAUUGGCCGAAACCGAGAUUUCAUAUAUUUGUUCAUCUUUCUUCAACAGGCCUAGUGCCUAUCUAGUUCCAGCAACAACGUCCAUAAAAACCCGAACAGUUCUGGCUUUUAACAAAACUAGAUGUUCAACGAACCAAAUAUUUCAGGUGGAUGUUUGUGGCACAAUAUUGAAGCAAGUUCUGCCAAUAAAUCACUUGUCUGUCAGCCUGGUGGUUUGUUUUCUCCAGCUCUAAAAGUUCUCGCUCG
rnacentral:lncRNA from 1 species